rnacentral:rRNA from 1 species
AGUGAACGCUGGCGGUAGGCCUAACACAUGCAAGUCGAACGGCAGCACAGUAAGAGCUUGCUCUUACGGGUGGCGAGUGGCGGACGGGUGAGGAAUACAUCGGAAUCUACUUUUUCGUGGGGGAUAACGUAGGGAAACUUACGCUAAUACCGCAUACGACCUACGGGUGAAAGCAGGGGAUCUUCGGACCUUGCGCGAUUGAAUGAGCCGAUGUCGGAUUAGCUAGUUGGCGGGGUAAAGGCCCACCAAGGCGACGAUCCGUAGCUGGUCUGAGAGGAUGAUCAGCCACACUGGAACGUGGACACGGUCCAGACUCCUACGGGAGGCAGCAGUGGGGAAUAUUGGACAAUGGGCGCAAGCCUGAUCCAGCCAUACCGCGUGGGUGAAGAAGGCCUUCGGGUUGUAAAGCCCUUUUGUUGGGAAAGAAAAGCAGCAGGUUAAUACCCCGCUGUUCUGACGGUACCCAAAGAAGAAACACCGGCUAACUUCGU